AUUUCUUAUCCCUAGAAAUAGUCAUGCCUGACAAAAAUCAACUCAAAAUGGAUCAAAGAGCUAUGAAUUAGAACAGAAGAAACUCCUAGAAGAAAAUGUAGGGUUAACACUCCAGCAUAUAAGCACAAGCAACAACUUUCUCAAUAAGACUCCUAAAGCUCAGGAAAUAAUGCCAAGGGUUAAUAAACGGGAUGGCAUCAAAUUAAAAAGUUUCUGCACAACAAAAAAUCUCACACCAGUCAGAAUGGCAGUCAUCAAGAAAACUAAACUACAAAAUACUAAAGAAAGAAAUUGAAGAAAACUUUAAAGAUGUAAAGAUCUCAUAUGUUCUUGGAUAGGCAGAAUUAAAAUUGUCAAAAUGGCCAUACUCCCAAAAGCUUUAUACAGAUUUAAUGCAAUUCCUAUUAAAAUCCCAAUGACAUUCUUCAUAGAAAUAGAAAAGGCAGUCAUGAAAUUCAUUUGGAAAAAUAAGAGGCUCAGAAUAGCCAAAGAAAUCCUCAGCAAGAAAAGUGAAGCAGAAGGCAUCACAAUACUAGACCUUAAAUUAUACUACAGAGCUAUAGUAAAAAUGGCAUGGUAUUGGCACCAAAAUAGAUAUGAAAAUCAAUGGAACAGAAUAGAAGUCACAGAGACAAAACCACAUAUAUACAGUCUUAUAUUAGACAAAGUCACCAUAAACAUACAUUGAAGAAAAUAUAGACUCUUCAACAAAUGGUGCUGGGAAAACUGGAAAUCCAUAUGUAGCAAAAUGAAAUUGAAUCCCUAUCUCUUACCCUGCAUAAAACUCAACUCAAAGUGGACAAGGACCUAGACAUUAGACCAUAGACCCUGAGCCUACUAGAAGAAAAUGUAGGCCCAACCAUCCUUAUGUUGGUUUACAUAUUGACUUCUUCAACAAGACUCCUAAAGGGCAAGAAGUAAAAUCAAAGAUCAAUACAUGGUGGUGCUAGGGUUAUAGCUCACUGGUAGAGUGCUUGCUUAGCAUGUGUGAGGCACUGGGUUCGAUUCCCA
rnacentral:lncRNA from 1 species